AUGAAUCCAAACAGGAUAUCAACUCUUGAAUUGUCUAUCCGCGCUUAUGUAGAGAUGAGGGAUGGACCUAUUGUGUACCCAAGCAUUGGGACCAGUUUUGACUCAUCGGAUGAAGCUUAUGAAUUAUAUAACCUUUAUUCGUGGGAGUGCGGUUUCGGUGUUAGACUUGCCAAGAGUAGAUUGAAUGUUGAAAGGAAGAGAUGCAUGCAAGAGAUUGUGUGCGCUUGUGUGGGGAAACCAUUGAGGGAAAACAACCGCUCGGCCAGGUGUGGAUGCAAUGCCAUGAUCAGGCUACUGCGGUUGAAUGACAAGGGCUGGUAUAUAGCAGAACACAAGGAUGAUCAUAACAACCCGUUGACAUUGACGUGUGGCCAGAAAAUGCAUUGGAAGUCACAUAAGCAUAUAGACAGAUACACAAAAGAUCUAGUGAAACAACUGAGAGACAACAAUGUGGGCUUGGGAAAGUUUUCAGCAUUGUUGGCAGUUUUUUCGGGACGGUUGAUAAAGUGA
rnacentral:rRNA from 1 species